rnacentral:rRNA from 1 species
AGCACUCCUACGGGAGGCAGCAGUGGGGAAUAUUGCACAAGUGGGCGCAAGCCUGAGUGCAGCCAUGCCGCGUGUAUGAAGAAGGCCUUCGGGUUGUAAAGUACUUUCAGCAGUGAGGAAGGUGGGUAUGUUAAUAGCAUAUUCAUUUGACGUUAGCUGCAGAAGAAGCACCGGCUAACUCCGUGCCAGCAGCCGCGGUAAUACGGAGGGUGCGAGCGUUAAUCGGAAUUACUGGGCGUAAAAGCGCAUGCAGGUGGUUUGUUAAGUCAGAUGUGAAAGCCCGGGGCUCAACCUCGGAAUUGCAUUUGAAAACUGGCAAACUAGAGUACUGUAGAGGGGGUAGGAAUUUCAGGUGUAGCGGUGAAAUGCGUAGAGAUCUGAAGGAAUACCGGUGGCGAAGGCGGCCCCCUGGACAGAUACUGACACUCAGAUGCGAAAGCGUGGGGAGCAAACAGGAUUAGAUACCCUGGUAG